rnacentral:rRNA from 1 species
UACGUAGGGUCCGAGCGUUGUCCGGAAUUAUUGGGCGUAAAGGGCUCGCAGGCGGUCCGUCACGUCGGGAGUGAAAACUCAGGGCUCAACCCUGAGCGUGCUUCCGAUACGGGCGGACUAGAGGUAUGCAGGGGAGAACGGAAUUCCUGGUGUAGCGGUGGAAUGCGCAGAUAUCAGGAGGAACACCGGUGGCGAAGGCGGUUCUCUGGGCAUUACCUGACGCUGAGGAGCGAAAGCAUGGGGAGCGAACAGG